rnacentral:rRNA from 1 species
CGUGUAGGCGGUCCGCUAAGUCUGAUGUGAAAGCCCGGGGCUCACCCCCGGAAGGGCAUUGGAAACUGGCGGACUCGAGUCCCGGAGAGGAAGGUGGAAUUCCUGGUGUAGCGGUGAAAUGCGUAGAUAUCAGGAGGAAUACCGGUGGCGAAGGCGGCCUUCUGGACGGUGACUGACGCUGAGACGCGAAAGCGUGGGGAGCAAACA